rnacentral:snRNA from 1 species
GCUCUUCGUUGUCCUCCGGGCAUACGGUCAAUUCGAAUUUAUACAGAGAAGAUCAGCUUGCUCCCUGCACUAAGGAUGACAUACACGAACAAGGAGAGUAAAAGUUUUUU